UGCAACUCGACUACAUGAAGCUGGAAUCGCUAGUAAUCGCGAAUCAGAAUGUCGCGGUGAAUACGUUCCCGGGUCUUGUACACACCGCCCGUCACACCAUGGGAGUUGGGAAUGCCCGAAGCCGGUGACCUAACCGAAAGGGAGGAGCCCGUCGAAGGCAGGCUUGAUAACUGGGGUGAAGUCGUAACAAGGUAAC
rnacentral:rRNA from 1 species